GUAGGUGGCAAGCGUUGUCCGGAAUUAUUGGGCGUAAAGCGCGCGCAGGCGGUUCUUUAAGUCUGAUGUGAAAGCCCACGGCUCAACCGUGGAGGGUCAUUGGAAACUGGAGAACUUGAGUACAGAAGAGGAAAGCGGAAUUCCACGUGUAGCGGUGAAAUGCGUAGAGAUGUGGAGGAACACCAGUGGCGAAGGCGGCUUUCUGGUCUGUAACUGACACUGAGGCGCGAAAGCGUGGGGAGCAAACAGGGAUUAGAUACCCUGGUAGUCCACGCCGUAAACGAUGAGUGCUAAGUGUUAGGGGGUUUCCGCCCCCUUAGUGCUGCAGCUAACGCAUUAAGCACUCCGCCUGGGGAUACGGCCGCAAGGCUG
rnacentral:rRNA from 1 species